rnacentral:rRNA from 1 species
UACAGAGGUCUCAAGCGUUGUUCGGAUUCAUUGGGCGUAAAGGGUGCGUAGGUGGCGCCGUAAGUCUGGUGUGAAAGGCGUGGGCUCAACCUGCGGACUGCAUUGGAUACUGCGAUGCUAGAGGACUGGAGAGGAGAAUGGAAUUCACGGUGGAGCAGUGAAAUGCGUAGAUAUCGUGAGGAAGGCCAGUGGCGAAGGCGAUUCUCUGGACAGUAUCUGACGCUGAGGCACGAAGGCUGGGGGAGCGAACAGG